GACGAACCGUGCAAACGUUAUUCGGAAUCACUGGGCUUAAAGCGCGUGUAGGCGGGACGGCACGUCGGUCGUUGAAAUCCCCCGGCUCAACCGGGGAAUGGGCGUCGAUACGACCGUCCUGGAGGAACGUAGGGGGACCUGGAACUUCCGGUGGAGCGGUGAAAUGCGUUGAGAUCGGAAGGAACGCCCGUGGCGAAAGCGAGGUCCUGGACGUUUUCUGACGCUGAGACGCGAAAGCCAGGGGAGCGAACGGG
rnacentral:rRNA from 1 species